rnacentral:rRNA from 1 species
UACGGGGGGAGCAAGCGUUGUUCGGAUUUACUGGGCGUAAAGGGCGCGUAGGCGGCCACCGCAAGUCGGUUGUGAAAUCUCUGAGCUUAACUCAGAACGGCCAAGUGAUACUGCAGUGCUAGAGUGUGGAAGGGGCAAUCGGAAUUCUUGGUGUAGCGGUGAAAUGCGUAGAUAUCAAGAGGAACACCUGAGGUGAAGGCGGGUUGCUGGGCCAACACUGACGCUGAUGCGCGAAAGCCAGGGGAGCAAACGGG